rnacentral:rRNA from 1 species
GACGAACGCUGGCGGCGUGCUUGACACAUGCAAGUCGAACGGAAAGGCCCUGCUUGCAGGGUACUCGAGUGGCGAACGGGUGAGUAACACGUGGGUGAUCUGCCCUGCACUUCGGGAUAAGCUUGGGAAACUGGGUCUAAUACCGGAUAGGAGCCAUCUUUAGUGUGGUGGUUGGAAAGUUUUUUCGGUGUAGGAUGAGCUCGCGGCCUAUCAGCUUGUUGGUGGGGUAAUGGCCUACCAAGGCGGCGACGGGUAGCCGGCCUGAGAGGGUGUACGGCCACAUUGGGACUGAGAUACGGCCCAGACUCCUACGGGAGGCAGCAGUGGGGAAUAUUGCACAAUGGGCGCAAGCCUGAUGCAGCGACGCCGCGUGGGGGAUGAAGGCCUUCGGGUUGUAAACUCCUUUCGCUAGGGACGAAGCUUUGUUGUGACGGUACCUAGAUAAGAAGCACCGGCUAACUACGUG